UUCAGGUUUUUGGCUUGGCUAAUUGGGUGACUGAGAAAAAUACAGAAAGACAAAGUUUUUGGGGUUUUUUUUGUUUAAGAUUUUAUUUAUUCACAAGAGACACACAGAGAGAGGCAGAGACAUAGGCAGAGGGAGAAGCAGGCUCCUGGAGAGGAGCCUGAUGUGGGACUCUAUUCUAGGACCCCGGGAUCAUGCCCUGAGAUAAAGGCAGAUGCUCAACCACUGAGGCACCUUACAGGUGCCCCAAAAGGUGAAAACUGUGUGUAAAGUUUGAUAUACUAUAUUAGACAUGCUGAGUCUGAGGUUCCCUGUGCUAUCCAAGGGGAAAGGUUGAGUAAGAAAUUGAGCAUAUGUAUCUGAAGCUUUGGGAAAAGUCUCAGAGGUAUAGAUUAGAGACUCUUCAUUUUCACGUAGGUAGUUGUUAAAACCUCAAGUGGAUGACAUUACACCAAGAGCGUGCAGCAUGAGUGCGCUGUGGACAGACCCUUGGGAACAAGAAAAUAUCAAGUAAAAAAACAUGGGAAGCAAUCAAAGGAAUCAUUUUUUUUAGGAAUCAUUUUUAUAAUAAAAACUUACACAUUCAUUAUAUUUGAUAGAAUGGAGGCACUGAUGAGCCUGAGGAGGCAAGUUGAAGCAGAAGUGACUUCACUUUGUGUUGACUGCUCUUUGAGAAACCUGGCAGAGAGUGGAAGGAGACAAAUUAUAGAGAGCAGUACAAGAUUAGUGGAAUUUUUUUUUGAGGGGUGGAGAAUGCUUGAUACUAUUUACAGGCUAAGAAGAGAAAAGAAGAGAAAGAAAUUUAAUAUUUAAGAGAAGAAGGAAAGUUGGCAGAAUGAGAGCUUGAAAGAAAGAUGGAGGGAUUUGGAAGAGUUAACCUUAUAUGAGACGGACACCUUAUUUUCUUAGCAUGAAAUGAGGACUUCCAGUACUAUGUUGAAUAAAAGUGGUGAGAAGGGGCAUCCAUACUUUGUUCCUGUUUUAGAGAAAAAGGUUUCAGUUUUUCACUGAAUCUCAGAGACUUCACCUGCUUUGCCCUGGGAUCCCACGAUGGAGAUGUGGCCAACAGAGCAAGAAUUUGAGAAGGUUGAACGAUGGAAGACAUUUAUUAUAAUUGAUGCAACCAGAAGAUAGUGGUUCCUCCAAGUCUCAUUAACCAAUGGUUCUCAAUGCUGUCAGGAUCACCUGCAUAAGAUUAUUAAAACUCAGGGUGCUGGGCCCCACCACCA